rnacentral:rRNA from 1 species
GGUUAAGCGACUAAGCGUACACGGUGGAUGCCCUGGCAGUCAGAGGCGAUGAAGGACGUGCUAAUCUGCGAUAAGCGUCGGUAAGGUGAUAUGAACCGUUAUAACCGGCGAUUUCCGAAUGGGGAAACCCAGUGUGUUUCGACACACUAUCAUUAACUGAAUCCAUAGGUUAAUGAGGCGAACCGGGGGAACUGAAACAUCUAAGUACCCCGAGGAAAAGAAAUCAACCGAGAUUCCCCCAGUAGCGGCGAGCGAACGGGGAGGAGCCCAGAGCCUGAAUCAGUGUGUGUGUUAGUGGAAGCGUCUGGAAAGGCGCGCGAUACAGGGUGACAGCCCCGUACACAAAAAUGCACAUGCUGUGAGCUCGAUGAGUAGGGCGGGACACGUGGUAUCCUGUCUGAAUAUGGGGGGACCAUCCUCCAAGGCUAAAUACUCCUGACUGACCGAUAGUGAAUCAGUACCGUGAGGGAAAGGCGAAAAGAACCCCGGCGAGGGGAGUGAAAAAGAACCUGAAACCGUGUACGUACAAGCAGUGGGAGCAUGCUUAGGCGUGUGACUGCGUACCUUUUGUAUAAUGGGUCAGCGACUUAUAUUCUGUAGCAAGGUUAACCGAAUAGGGGAGCCGAAGGGAAACCGAGUCUUAACUGGGCGUUAAGUUGCAGGGUAUAGACCCGAAACCCGGUGAUCUAGCCAUGGGCAGGUUGAAGGUUGGGUAACACUAACUGGAGGACCGAACCGACUAAUGUUGAAAAAUUAGCGGAUGACUUGUGGCUGGGGGUGAAAGGCCAAUCAAACCGGGAGAUAGCUGGUUCUCCCCGAAAGCUAUUUAGGUAGCGCCUCGUGAACUCAUCUCCGGGGGUAGAGCACUGUUUCGGCAAGGGGGUCAUCCCGACUUACCAACCCGAUGCAAACUGCGAAUACCGGAGAAUGUUAUCACGGGAGACACACGGCGGGUGCUAACGUCCGUCGUGAAGAGGGAAACAACCCAGACCGCCAGCUAAGGUCCCAAAGUCAUGGUUAAGUGGGAAACGAUGUGGGAAGGCCCAGACAGCCAGGAUGUUGGCUUAGAAGCAGCCAUCAUUUAAAGAAAGCGUAAUAGCUCACUGGUCGAGUCGGCCUGCGCGGAAGAUGUAACGGGGCUAAACCAUGCACCGAAGCUGCGGCAGCGACGCUUAUGCGUUGUUGGGUAGGGGAGCGUUCUGUAAGCCUGUGAAGGUGUACUGUGAGG